GCACGCGUGGUGGAAUGGCAGACACGCCAGACUUAGGAUCUGGUACCGCAAGGUUUAGAGGUUCAAGUCCUCUCGCGUGCACCA
rnacentral:tRNA from 1 species